rnacentral:rRNA from 1 species
GCUACCAUGCAGUCGAGCGGAACGAGUUAACUGAACCUUCGGGGAACGUUAACGGCGUCGAGCGGCGGACGGGUGAGUAAUGCCUGGGAAAUUGCCCUGAUGUGGGGGAUAACCAUUGGAAACGAUGGCUAAUACCGCAUAAUAGCUUCGGCUCAAAGAGGGGGACCUUCGGGCCUCUCGCGUCAGGAUAUGCCCAGGUGGGAUUAGCUAGUUGGUGAGGUAAGGGCUCACCAAGGCGACGAUCCCUAGCUGGUCUGAGAGGAUGAUCAGCCACACUGGAACUGAGACACGGUCCAGACUCCUACGGGAGGCAGCAGUGGGGAAUAUUGCACAAUGGGCGCAAGCCUGAUGCAGCCAUGCCGCGUGUAUGAAGAAGGCCUUCGGGUUGUAAAGUACUUUCAGCAGUGAGGAAGGUUCAUGCGUUAAUAGCGUAUGGAUUUGACGUUAGCUGCAGAAGAAGCACCGGCUAACUCCGUGCCAGCAGCCGCGGUAAUACGGAGGGUGCGAGCGUUAAUCGGAAUUACUGGGCGUAAAGCGCAUGCAGGUGGUUUGUUAAGUCAGAUGUGAAAGCCCGGGGCUCAACCUCGGAAUUGCAUUUGAAACUGGCAGACUAGAGUACUGUAGAGGGGGGUAGAAUUUCAGGUGUAGCGGUGAAAUGCGUAGAGAUCUGAAGGAAUACCGGUGGCGAAGGCGGCCCCCUGGACAGAUACUGACACUCAGAUGCGAAAGCGUGGGAGCAACAGGAUUAGAUACCCUGGUAGUCCACGCCGUA